GCCCGGGAGUGUCUUCCGGAAUCGAGGAAAUUCACCUUUUUGAAGUUACAGUCUCGCAGUUGAACUCCUCUCCGCUCUGGUCUCGCUUCUGAUCGAAAGUCAACUUCGUCAAAGGCCCUUGCCUUCUUACAAUUAAGGAUAGUGAUUCAGAGUUGAUACAGUCAAAAUCAAGCGUGGGUGGUCUCGACUCAAUUCCAUCUCGCCUUUCUGCCUCUUUCUCUUCCCUUUCUUCCGAUCCUUUAUUCCGAUCCGAAAGAGAGAAUGAAAUGAAAGAAUAAGGAAUAAUCCCACGAGGCGAAGCUUGGACCGCUCUGGCGGACAAGUGCUACAGAGCAGAAUCAUAAUAGACAAGGAACUUUCAAGCUCAAGGGAUGGGAUGCCUCUCCAACUAGUAGGGAGCUGCUUACUGCGCUUCCUUCUAACUUCUAACCUGGCGCCUUGACCUUCCUCGUCACGGGAUCCCACGUAGCGGGAUGGCAUGGUAGCGAUGGGUUCUAGAACCGAUAUAUAUAACCUGCUUUCCCUCGGCGCGUCUACUUUCUUGCUUACCUGACUGAAGAUUGACGAGAAAUAGCAGCAAGGCCGCAUCCUCUUUCUCUCUCGCUUUCCAGCGAAUCAUUUUCCCUUUGGGCGGAGGUUUCUCGAUCAUCAUUCCCUUGAGUAUGAAAGAGCAGACUAAAGCAGCGGUCUAAUUCCCCUUCCCAGGCAGGCAGUCUCUAAUUAGAAUCCCAGGAUUCAGCCGAGAUAAGUUAUGCAUGAAAGAGCCUAACUAAAGAAAUGAUUAUCGCAUGGGCGACCUCUAUCCCGAUCGAUUCCCCCUCACAGUCGAGCCGCUUUCUGAGUCGCCCUACUCCUUCCUGGCUGCAGAUGCAUUAUUGAAUGAGAUAUAUGACUGGGGCCCCACGUAGCGGUAGGAAUUUGGAUGCUUGCCCAGUCUUUUGAGGAAAACUCUUUCCCUUGGUUCUCUAUUGCCUAUGGAUGAACGAAAGCAAUGCUUGCUAUGACUGGCAGCACUCUUCGAGUCACUUUUAUUAGAUUUGAAAAUCUCAAAGAAUGAAGUUUAUAGAUAAGAAAAGCCUUAGGAAUAAGGAUCUCAUUCUCUCGCUUUCUACUACAACUAAAGCUACUGCUACUUCUCGAAACAUCAACUUCUUCGGAAACCUCCCUUUCAAAGAAAGAAGACUCCGCAUCCGGAAUUGAGUAAACUCCAUUGGUCCAACUCGAAUGAGGGUCAAUCUUUGAACCUUUCACAGCAGCUUCCGAUUGAUCCGGAUGGAUCUUACCUUUAUGCCUGGUAAAUGACCUCCCCGGACCAGUUUCCUCUUGGCAAACUCGGUGGGGUGGAGGUGGAUCCCUCUUCUUCCUCUUUAGUCCCUUUCUCAUUCCUAUUGAGCGCCACGGACUCUGUCUCGAUUCCCUUUCUGCCAGGAAAAGAAAAUGCAAACAAAGCGCUUCGUACUUCUCCCGAGCUACUAUGAAAAUGGACUUUUUACGUUAUUAGAUCAAAGUCUCUAUUUACGCUAUUUUUAGUCAUUUUGGAAUAGUCCGAAGGCGCAAAGUUGCGUCCUAGGCUUGAUGAAUGAAAGCUAUAAAAGCAGAGCGCAAAGAAUUUGCGAAACAAGUCCUCCGCUUUCGCCUCAAAUUAAUGGGAACCUUGGUCUAAUCAAUCACAAUUGAUUAAGAAUCUUUGACCCGUCCUCCGGACUAUCCAUUAGGAUCUGGAGCCUUUGUUUUUGGAGUAUUAAGACCGCUCCUUUCAGUUAUUUAACAGCUUUUUUUCGGAAUAAUACUUUGAUAGUGGAAUCAGACUUUUUAAGCUAAAAUAAUGAAAGGCCUAUCCAUUAGAGAAUUUGACUUGCGACUAAAAAAAGAAAAGCUCUAACUCCUCCGGACUAUCCGUAUGAACCUAGCCUUCGGACCAGAUGAGUUGAAUGAAGAAUGAAUCUACCCUUUACCGCUAAAUAGGAGCAGCAGCAAAAGCAAAGGUCUAGAUUUUCUGACUCAUCUGGACCUUUCUUUGAGAAAACCAAAAUCAGAGCUAUCCCUAAUGUUCUUCUUUGAGCCUUCGGAGCGGGAGGGCUCCUUUUUAGUGGACGCUACUUGAUUAUGGGGGGAUGAGACCCAACUAUAAGACUCAAUCUUAGACUUUUCUUAUCUAAGGCCUAAUUAUAAGGCGCAAAGAAUAUUGCUCAUUUGAGAUCAGGUCCAUAUUAAUAUUAACCUGUCACCUGGACCUUUGUUUUCCUAAUUAGAAUAGCGAAUAGUCCUCCGCCUCUAGUUCCCACGUAGCUAAAGAUUCACCGAAAAUCUGAGCAAUAUUCUUUGGGCCUCUGUAGCUUAAUAUGGGAACCUAAUCAAUAUAUAAAGACUUCUUGAAUAUGAAUUCAUCCUCAUCUGGAGCCUCCUUUGUUUUUCUUUAAAGUAAUAGCUAUGAAUAGUCCAAAAACAAAGGUCCGAAGGCGCAAAGAAUAUUGACGAAAAGAAGAAUGAACUCAUUAACUCGAAUGAAAGAAGAAUUCUGAUUGAAUCACCCAUAACCUGGAGGGAAAUCCAGAAUAGACCCGUAUUUCUCCGGACCAGAAACCAUAAUCAAACUCUGUUCAUUGAUUUGACCUUUCCUAGGAGUUCUUCUUUCAUUGCGUUUUCCCGGCUUUUUUGCUUCUAAAUAGGACUAAAUCAAAGAUUUCUAUUUAACGAAAAUUGUCUAAAAAUGACUGAUUUUUCAUGAUUUCUUGCUACUUCCCUAUGGGCAAAACCUAGCAUUUCCCUCCGCGGAUUCAUCUGAAAUCUAGCAGAUUCUUUUUGUUUUUAGCUUCUUUUCUUGACUUUUGUGCCAGUCCUUCGGACCUGUCAUCUGGACCUUUCUUUUUUGGACUAUUCAACCUAUUACUUUGAGCCUUGCCAAAGGUGAAUGAAUGAAAUUCAAAAAUACAUAGAUAAGAAAGAGUACGGAUGUCCCACCAAUUCUGAUCCGAAAAUCCUUUGAACUGAAAAAGAUGAAAAGAAAGCGCGGAGAUUCUCAUAUUUGUUUGUGGCACUCUUUCUUUGCUUAGUCCGAGCAGCUUCCAGUGAAGAUCUUUCCCAAGGCUAAGAAUUGGCUGAUUUCUUCACUUACGAAAGACAUAUCUCACAAUCCCGGGAAAUCCCCUUUUCUUGAAAGAAUUCCAAUCCGCCCCAGUAAAACAAGAAAGAGGGAGUAUUGUCAAUUUCCUGACUUUUUCCACUGGACUUCCCAAAGGUCUGAAACAAGAGGUCUACUUAAAAGAACUUCUGCCCGGAUAAUAGAAUCGGGAAAGCCUCUACCGAUGCCAUUCCCGGGCAAAAGCUUGCUUGCUCGCCUAUAUUGCCCUUUCCCCGUGCGGGGAAUCGUCUUAUCAUUCGCCGCCGGGUCGCCGUGCUCUUCCGGACAGCCGAUCAAAAUCUCUCCUUCUAUCUGGAUGCCCAGCCUUUCAGAGGAUUCCUUCAGCUUUAAGGUUGGACAUGGGCCCCACACCUCGUUUUCUUUCUCCUCGUGACGGUCCACCCAUACAUGUCAAAAAGACAGAUUUUUUGAGCAGUUUUUUUCUUUUUAGAAAGAGAGGCCAAAGGGCCCCGACGUCUCCCUCGUCCCAUUUGUCUGGGAUCCAUUCGUCUGAGAAAGCAAUUCCAUUAGAAUGCAGCGGAGUCCUUUCCGCAAGGGGAAUAUAUGCGAACUGCAACACAUUCAUGUCCAUUUUCCUCAAUCGGGAGGCAGGAAUUCUUCUUAUAUCUAUUCUUGGAUUUUCGUCGUUAUGUAAUAAAUAGAGGUCGCUCUCUUGGGUUCCCUCAAUGAAAAGGACGGAUUUCAGUUUCCGCUUCCUAAAAAGAGGUUUUUCUAUAAAAGGGAGUUCUAGUUUCGUUUUGGAUUGGGCCGGCGGCCCUGUCUCCACGAAUAAUAGGCUGCCCUUCGGCACAUGCAACCAUACAUGGUUGCGGCUAUUCUGUCCUCUUGUAGGUCUUCGCAGUGGGGGGAGUCGAAUGCUAAAGGCAUAAUUCUUGUACCCCUUUCUUUCUAAAGCUUUUGGGCAAGAGUUUUCCCAUCAAAAGGUACGUUAGCCGUUAAAAGUCUUUUCAUAUUUGGCAUCUAGCCUGCACUCCUGCCCAUCAAGAAGAGGGAGAAGGUCCCUCGCGGAGGAGGGCUGCUCGCCUUCAUCAUAUUCGUUUUCUUCGAUGAACUCGUCGAAGACCCAAAAAUCAAAGAAAUCAUGGGCUCCGGAGUAGUCAUUCCUUCUUUUCCCGACUCCUUAAGCCAAUCUUUUUAAGAAGACUUAUAAGGAGGGUUUUCCGCGUAUUUGAUCUUCCGUAGAGAAAGAGCAGCCUUGUCUUUAUUGGCCGCUCGAAGAGAAGGUUGGUUGCUAUCCAAUUCAGCAGGAGAUACUUGUCUUGCAAGAAUUCGUCAGUGUAUUCUUGGGGCCGGCCUUUCCUUUCUAGAUAGUCUACGAGAAUCUCCAUAGGGGAUAUCUCCCGCAUCUUGAUGCGCUGGGAGUCCUACCAAAGAUUUUGCACACUAUUAUAGUUGUCUUUUACUCUCAAACAAAUAUGAUUCAUAGCCCAAAAAGAAAGGCGCAAAGAAUAUUGCGAGAUUGAAUAUGGAUAAAAAUCAGUCCUUCGGACGGGUAGAAAACUCUUAAUAGUGGAAGGCAAUCGCAUCUCUUCUAACUCCGGCUCAAUGAACAUCCAUAAAUAAAGGGAUCUUGUGCUAGGAUCAAAGAAUAUUGAGAAGACCUCCUACGCAGUUCAUUUAUGCAACUCAACCUAAAAAAUACUGUUUUUUUGAUUGGAAAGACUAUGUCAAAGAUUAAUAUCGUAUGCGAAGCGGAGCAUGAAAUGAAAUUCAGACUACUCAAAUAAUAGAGAAUAAGUUCAGACGACUCCUUCUCCGGGAGCGCAAAUCAGACGACGAAGGCAGACCAGACUAUUAUUUCAGAGAAGAAAGAGAAGUCCCUUUAGAGGCUCACGCAAUAUUCUUUGCGCCUCCUGGAGGCUGGGUCAGGACGAUGAAUUCAUACUCGAAGGACUCUAAAAGGCGAAGCCAAGCGACUAUAUAUAAUCUAAUAAGAAAAGACGACUCGCAACUCAUAUUACAUUGAGCCUCGUCUUUGAAAAACAUUAGUAUGCGAAGCGACUGUAUAUAAUAGACAAAGACAAGAUCCUUCUACAGAAGCGCAAAAAGGAUCUGAUAAUCAGCCAAGGCCUAACCUACUAUUUGGAAUGCGGAGGAGUCAAAUAAGAAGCUGGAGGCUGGGUAGAAAGAGGGUUUCGAUCAGUAAAUUAAUCACUCCUUUUCAUUCUGAAUCUGAAUGAGGCAUGAAGAAGAAGGACUGAAAGCAAGUCCGAUUCCUUAACUUAAGAGCAAUCGGCUCCUGGUGGCUCAGGCUUCUCUUCUAGCUCCCCAUCUCCCGCACUCUGGAAGCUACCUGUCCGCCUCAACGCAACGGAUCUGGAAUCUUCCGAUGAAAGUGAUCCAUCCUGAUUAGAGGCUAGAACUGAGAAUCACCUUUUGGCUGAAUACAGGCAUACCGAGGCCAAGGCCUGUAGUCGAAUUAAUUAUACUCUUUGAUAUCCUUCUCGCUCCCUCUUUUCUUGCACUCCUUUCUCCUUCGCAAUAUUCUUUGCGCCUUUGUUUGGUGUAUUCAUUAAAUAAGUUGGCUAGUUGGCCAUCUCCGGACAGGCUCCCCCCGGUCACCUGUCCUCCCCUCCACCUGGAAAAGUGCGGAAGACUGACUUAAACAGUCUGAUUCAGUCGCUACGCUCCAAGGGGAACUACUACUGAAGUAGCUACGCGUAGGGGUAUCUAUCUCUCAAUAAAGAUAGAGUCAGUGAUCCGCGUACUCAGCAGAAGCAACCUUCACCUCCGAGAGUUGGUAGUUCAAGGAAGAAGAAAGCCUAUCCUAAUCGCAAAUUCUUUGCUCCUCCACCAGAAACACAAGCAAGAAGGAAGGGGAACUACUACUGAAGUAGCUACGCUCCUGAAGUCGCUACGCUCAAAGGGGAACGGACUUUCCGGGGUAGCUCUAUCUUUCCAAGCAGUAGAUUCAGUCGCUACGCUCCGGCCAGCGAGGGAAGGUUUGCUUUUCUCAUAUAUUGAUUGAUGAAAACGGUGUAUGCCCGAAACCGAAAGAUCGCGACUAGGGACAUCGUUGUAAACGGGCAUCAAUCGGUAGGCUCUUUCUAGAGCCCAGAGAUCGAGGUCCUGGGUGGCUGUCGGAAAACAGUGUCUCAGCCUACCGCCAUUAACUGGGUGGAGACCUGGUUCUAAUGGCACGCUGAUGAAAGCGACGGUGGCUCCAUACCCCUAAGAUAAGAGAAGAGACUUUCAGUUUCUCUCUCUACUUUGAACAUCUGGACCUUUGUUUUUGCUUCUACGUCUGAAGACCGAAGGACUCUCAAAUCCGGAGGACCGUCCGAAGGACUAGUCUUUUAGUGGUUUUUCGCAAAUUCUUUGCUCCUUUUUAGGAGCGCAAGUACAGAAAUGGAAUAUGAACCUGUCCGCAACUCAAUUCAUUCAGCCUCAGGCAAACCGCAAUAUUCUGCAUUGAGCCUUCGGACCCUCUCGCAAUUCCCCGUCACCUGUCCGGAGCCCGCAGGAUUCUUAUCCGGAGUCCGGAGUCCGCAGGGCCAAAGAAAGGUCCAGGGUCCGGAGGAUUUAUCCGUAGGACUAUCCAUAUGGAAGUAGGACCAUCCGUAAUUAACAGAAGUAGGACUAUCCAUUAGGAGAGCUGAAAAGAAUAUUGAAGCAAGAAAGAAAGUCAAAUGGGUGGUUUUGAACUCAAUUAUCGUAGAGUAGAUAGAGUCUCUAUUUAUUUAUGUUAUGCUAUUUGAGUGGAAAAAGAAGAAAAAAUCCCGGGGUUUUGCAAAGAAAAAAAGAAGAGACUUUUUCUAUCUCAUUUGCUUAACACAUACAAGAUUUUCAUAGCCAUGUCUUUGAAGAACUCCCCCUUUUCCUUCCCCAGAAGAAAGUUCACUCACAGUAUGUUCAUUCAGCUGUUGUGAUUAGUUUGUAGAAUUGAGAGGAGCAUUGCCCAUGGUUUAUCUUUUUUGGUUCAUCAUCAAAAACCACCGUAGCCGAUCGUGGGGAUCCUAACGAUCCCCGAGUAAGAUUAAAACGUGAUUGCGUUGGGAUUAUGGCUGCUUUCAAACUUGGGCAGCCUUUUCAUCAUGUUGUAAUUCUAGCCAACACCCAUCUUUGUUGGGAUCCAGAAUGGGCUGAUGUGAAGCUCGCUCAGGCUAAGUAUCUUUUAUCACGCCUAGCUCGAUUCAAAUCUUUAGUUGCUGAAAAGUUUGAAUGCACACCCUCAGUACUUUUGGCUGGCGAUUUCAAUUCAACCCCAGGAGAUAAGAAUUCAGAUGGUACAAACUCUAUACUUUCCUCCUCAUUCUGCUUCAUGAGGAGAAAGGCAAUCUGUCAAAGAGUUGAAGGAGAAGACAGAAGAACUUAAAGGUCACAUGAAGACCUAAAAGUUAGGCUGGGUGGCCAAUUCAAUGGAUGGCCUGAGACGGUGAAAUGACGAGUGUAGAACAAAGUA